rnacentral:rRNA from 1 species
GACGAACGCUGGCGGCGUGCUUAACACAUGCAAGUCGAACGGAAAGGCCUGCUUUCCCUUGUGGAUUGCGGGUACUCGAGUGGCGAACGGGUGAGUAACACGUGAGUGAUCUGCCCCCAACUUGGGUAUAAGCCUGGGAAACUGGGUCUAAUUCCCGAUAGGACUGCAGGGUGGUGCCUGUGGUGGAAAACGAUUUUCUAGUGGUUGGGGAUGAGCUCGCGGCCUAUCAGCUUGUUGGUGGGGUAAUGGCCUACCAAGGCGGCGACGGGUAGCCGGCCUGAGAGGGUGGACGGCCACAGUGGGACUGAGAUACGGCCCAGACUCCUACGGGAGGCAGCAGUGGGGAAUAUUGCACAAUGGGCGGAAGCCUGACGCAGCGACGCCGCGUGGGGGAUGACGGCCUUCGGGUUGUAAACUCCUUUCGACCGCGAGGAAGCCACCUGGUUGGAAGGGUGGUGACGGUAGUGGUAGAAGAAGCACCGGCUAACUACGUG